GGGGGCGAUUGGAUUCGACCGGGCGUGAGGAUGAGGAGGCCGCGUGCCGAGGUUGCCAGUUGGCCUCGUUAAACAACUGGCGCUAAACUAUACAUGCCAACUCUCAGUUGCGCAUGGCUGCGUAAAUAACGCAGCCCGUCUUGUGGCAAACGCCCGCUAUGCCGCCGGACGACGAUAGCGGGCUGGCUGACGGGCGACACCUGGCCGCACGUCGGCGAGAAACCAGUCGGGUUGGCCGAUCCCGGAGCCUGCCGACCGGCGCCGGCGGAGGCGAGAUCUAAAAGAUCAGGCUACGCACGUAGAAACCUUCUUUGAACCGUCGCGGGACGGGGGUUCGAUUCCCCCCGCCUCCACUA
rnacentral:tmRNA from 1 species